GAUUACGUUCACUGCGAUGUGUGUUUUGAAAUUAAAGUUUAAAUUUUCUAGUCUCCGAACCUCAUCACUUGGUUAGCCGCUGUUUGACAAAUUCAAAUCACCAAUCCGUAAGUUCAUCCACUUUGUUUCAAAUUUGAAACCCUGCCGUAGUGUGUAAAUUCGAGUCCUAGUAGGAGUCUAACUCUCAUUAGAAAAACCCUAUCAGAUAGCCUUUCUACCGUCUUUAUAAAUCCAUCUAGAAUAUCUGAUUCAAACACAAGAAAAAUACAAAGAAAACUCACUUGUUUUGGAGUUCUCUUCUCUGACCCGCAGCCAACCACUUCUUCUCGCAGUAACUCCACGCCACUCAGAGGCGCGGGACUCCCUUCCGGCGUCACAGACGGUGCCGACCAGCCCAGCCCUAGCUCAGCCACCUCUUUUCCGAGACCCUCCUGUCGCGUCGCCGGUCGCUCCCUGCAGCCCAGCGCCGCCGUCGCCCUCAGCCCCUCUCGGUCUCAAGUUACGAAGUAUUAUUCAAGAAGAAACGCAUCGAG